AAUAGAUACCCAGGUAGUCCACGCCGUAAACGAUGAGUGCUAAGUGUUAGGGGGUUUCCGCCCCUUAGUGCUGCAGCUAACGCAUUAAGCACUCCGCCUGGGGAGUACGGUCGCAAGACUGAAACUCAAAGGAAUUGACGGGGGCCCGCACAAGCGGUGGAGCAUGUGGUUUAAUUCGAAGCAACGCGAAGAACCUUACCAGGUCUUGACAUCCCGCUGAUCGGCCUAGAGAUAGGCUUUUCCCUUCGGGGACAGCGGUGACAGGUGGUGCAUGGUUGUCGUCAGCUCGUGUCGUGAGAUGUUGGGUUAAGUCCCGCAACGAGCGCAACCCUUGAUCUUAGUUGCCAGCAUUCAGUUGGGCACUCUAAGGUGACUGCCGGUGAUAAACCGGAGGAAGGUGGGGAUGACGUCAAAUCAUCAUGCCCCUUAUGACCUGGGCUACACACGUGCUACAAUGGACGGUACAGAGGGUCGCAACCCCGCGAGGGUGAGCUAAUCCCAUAAAACCGUUCUCAGUUCGGAUUGUAGGCUGC
rnacentral:rRNA from 1 species